rnacentral:rRNA from 1 species
GUUUCAGCAGCCGCGGUAAGACAGAGGGUGCAAACGUUGUUCGGAAUUACUGGGCGUAAAGCGCGCGUAGGCGGCCGUGCAAGUCGGGCGUGAAAUCCCAUGGCUCAACCAUGGAAGUGCACUCGAAACUGCACAGCUGGAGUCUCGGAGAGGAAGGCGGAAUGCUUGGUGUAGAGGUGAAAUUCGUAGAUAUCAAGCGGAACACCGGUGGCGAAGGCGGCCUUCUGGACGAUGACUGACGCUGAAGCGCGAAAGCGUGGGGAGCAAACAGGAUUAGAAACCCGAGUAGUCC